AACGAACGCUGGCGGCAUGCCUAACACAUGCAAGUCGAACGAGACCUUCGGGUCUAGUGGCGCACGGGUGCGUAACGCGUGGGAAUCUGCCCUUGGGUUCGGGAUAACAGUUGGAAACGACUGCUAAUACCGGAUGAUGUCUUCGGACCAAAGAUUUAUCGCCCAAGGAUGAGCCCGCGUAGGAUUAGCUUGUUGGUGAGGUAAGAGCUCACCAAGGCGACGAUCCUUAGCUGGUCUGAGAGGAUGAUCAGCCACACUGGGACUGAGACACGGCCCAGACUCCGACGGGAGGCAGCAGUGGGGAAUAUUGGACAAUGGGCGAAAGCCUGAUCCAGCAAUGCCGCGUGAGUGAUGAAGGCCUUAGGGUUGUAAAGCUCUUUUACCCGGGAUGAUAAUGACAGUACCGGGAGAAUAAGCCCCGGCUAGCUCCGUGCCAGCCGCCGCGGUAA
rnacentral:rRNA from 1 species